GACGGAGGGGGCGAGCGUUGUUCGGAAUUAUUGGGCGUAAAGCGUGCGCAGGCGGUUGUGCAAGGCAGAUGUGAAAUCCCCGGGCUCAACCUGGGAACUGCAUUUGUGACUGCACGGCUGGAGUGCGGCAGAGGGGGAUGGAAUUCCGCGUGUAGCAGUGAAAUGCGUAGAUAUGCGGAGGAACACCGAUGGCGAAGGCAAUCCCCUGGGCCUGCACUGACGCUCAUGCACGAAAGCGUGGGGAGCAAACAGG
rnacentral:rRNA from 1 species